rnacentral:lncRNA from 1 species
AUUGCUUCUGCCACAGGAAGGUUAACCUGGGACUGAGUUUCUCUCCCUGAGCUGUCAGAGGCCCAUCUGGGACCUGCUUCCAUAACUCCGUCCAGGGCUCUAGGACUGCUCUCUACCUUCUUCCAUCCCGGGAUGGCCAGUAAUAAGACCAGCACUGCACCAGAGCCUCACCUGUCCUCCAGAUGGCGCCCCCCUGGCUGACUCCUUUAUCCUUCAGCUGCACCCAAAGGAACUCAAAGUCAUCCCGUCUGCCCAUGCCCACCUGUCACCUGAAUGUCCCUCCAGUAAGAAGGAAAAGGACCUCUUAGGAUGGCUUCUACCCACAAAUACCUUUCCCGUCGGUCAGCAACCAUCCUAAAGUCUGAAUAGCCCAUCUGUCUCACUGCUGUGGGUUUAAAAACGAAGCAGGACACAUCAAGUUUGUGCUGAUACCUUUCCCAGUGUCCCACCGACCACGGGGUUACAACCCUGGACCAGGGGGGUAUGUCUGUCCACUUCUUUGCCUUUGUGCCUUUGCUCAUUCUGAUCCACCUAGUACAGUCCUCGUCCCUAAAGAUUCAGUUCAAAUAUUACACGAACAGAAAGCCAUCCAUGUUCGGGAUUGCCUAAUCUAUAGGGCCAAAGGAAGGUGCAGUAGCCUUGGCGCCAGACUGCCAGAACGAGAUCCCGAUGGGCUGGGACAGGGUCCGUCAUAGGUUAGGAACAAGGGAGCUGCUAACUUGCUCGGGUGGCCCGUCUGCGACCGGGGAUAGAAGGAUGGAGGGACGUAGGUUUGUCCGCAAGCGACAGACAGUGUCGCGCUGCACGACAGGCAGCAUGGCCACCCCAAGCCCAGACCUGGAGCUCAGCCCAGCCGUGCGCACCUCCGCCCCUGCCUCCGCCGCCCCGGCCUCCGCUCCGUCUGGUCCCGCGCCUGCUUCUCCGGGGCCGCGGGGCUCCGCUGCCUUGCAGCUCCCCGGGUCAGCACCGACGAGGUCUCCAUGACUGUCAGCGACUGCCGACCGCUAAGCCCUCCAGACACUGCUCCAACAGCCAAUCGCAAGCCUGGGCCUGCCCCUGCCGCAGCUCUCAGCCAAUGGUGAGUGUGCAGCGCCGCGGUUGGCUCGCACCGAGUUCCGGCUAGGAUCUGUCCACGUUCUGCAAGCGGCGGGUGUAGAGCCUGAGUUAAAUAACCGGAGAGACGGGGCGGGACCUGAUGGGCGGGGUCUAGGAGAAAGGCGGGGCUGCGUGGAUCCUGAGCCCAAGGUUCUGAGACCCAAAAAAGUGUUAUUUAGAGUUAGCCACGAAGUUUUCUUUCCAGACGAAUGAAACAAUCUGCCAGCGACAACCAAGUCGGUACACGUUAGCAAUGAGCCCUGGAACUGGGCCACAGAGACUGGUGGCCUAGCUUCCCUGGGUCCCUGGCUCCUUGGAUCCCUGGAUUCCUGGAUGGGAUCUAAUAUUACAGGCACCUGUAAUAUUCUGCUUUUUUUAAGAAAUUAAAAUAUAAUUACAUGUU